UACGAAGGGGGCUAGCGUUGCUCGGAAUCACUGGGCGUAAAGGGUGCGUAGGCGGGUCUUUAAGUCAGGGGUGAAAUCCUGGAGCUCAACUCCAGAACUGCCUUUGAUACUGAGGAUCUUGAGUUCGGGAGAGGUGAGUGGAACUGCGAGUGUAGAGGUGAAAUUCGUAGAUAUUCGCAAGAACACCAGUGGCGAAGGCGGCGACCUGGGCCAAUACUGACGCUGAGGUGCGAAAGCGUGGGGAGCGAACAGG
rnacentral:rRNA from 1 species